rnacentral:tRNA from 1 species
CGGAGCGUAGCGCAGUUGGUAGCGCGCAUCGUUCGGGACGAUGAGGCCGUGGGUUCAAGUCCCACCGCUCCGA